rnacentral:rRNA from 1 species
CGGCGUGCCUAAUACAUGCAAGUCGAACGGUCUUUCUAUGGAAGCUUGCUCCACUGAGAAGAUAGCGGCGAACGGGUGAGUAACACGUGGGUAACCUGCCCAUAAGAGGGGGAUAACAUCCGGAAACGGGUGCUAAUACCGCAUAGUUUUCUUGAUCGCAUGAUCGGGAAAGGAAAGACGGCCUUUGUGCUGUCGCUUAUGGAUGGACCCGCGGCGUAUUAGUUAGUUGGUGAGGUAACGGCUCACCAAGACGAUGAUACGUAGCCGACCUGAGAGGGUGAUCGGCCACAUUGGGACUGAGACACGGCCCAAACUCCUACGGGAGGCAGCAGUAGGGAAUCUUCCGCAAUGGACGAAAGUCUGACGGAGCAACGCCGCGUGAGUGAAGAAAAGGUUUUCGGAUCGUAAAACUCUGUUGUCAGAGAAGAACAAGUUGGAGAGUAACUGCUCCAGCCUUGACGGUAUCUGACCAGAAAGCCACGGCUAACUACGUGCCAGCCGCUGC